rnacentral:rRNA from 1 species
UACGAAGGGGGCUAGCGUUGCUCGGAAUUACUGGGCGUAAAGCGCACGUAGGCGGAUUGUUAAGUCGGGGGUGAAAUCCUGGAGCUCAACUCCAGAACUGCCUUCGAUACUGGCGAUCUCGAGUUCGGGAGAGGUGAGUGGAACUGCGAGUGUAGAGGUGAAAUUCGUAGAUAUUCGCAAGAACACCAGUGGCGAAGGCGGCUCACUGGCCCGAUACUGACGCUGAGGAGCGAAAGCGUGGGGAGCGAACAGG